rnacentral:lncRNA from 12 species
CCUGCCCCUUCCUGCGGGAUCCUUCUCGCCCUGUUCCCACAGGGCUGUGAUCUGUUGCAUCUCUAACAGCCUGCCGGACCCCAUGCCCCUCCCCCAGCUCUGCUCCCUUUCUUAGGGACCCUGCACAGCAACCCACGGCACAGGGGUCUGUGCUCACUGCCUCCGAUCCCUCCCUGUUCAUUCUGCGAACCCUUGCGGUCAGGCCUUUAGCCGCGCCCCCCCCAAACCACCCUGGAUGAGGGUCCCCAGUCCAGAGGCCCAAUCCUCAGCCCACAUCCUGCUUGGCCCUCCGUGGCCUCAGACACCCCAACACUUCCCUCCUCCGUGAAGCACUCUCUCCCUGCUUCCGGGACCCUGCGCUCCUGGUUUUGCUCCCACCUGUCCAGCUGCCACUGCCCCAAACGCUGGGGGCCACCCCUCUGACUUGGGACACCCUCCUCCUCUCUCUUGGGCAGCUCUUUUACAUCUUCUGUAAACGUCGCCACCUGCUUCCCCGUCCCUCUCCAGAGUGACCCCGGUCACCUGAGCCUCACCCCCCUUCUUCCUGACACAGGUUUUUACCAGAAAUGCCUCCCAUGGAGUCAACGCCUCCCCCAGAACUGAGCCUGCUGAGCCUCCCUCCCCACCCCCGACUCCAGGGCUGUGUCCUGUCCCCACAGCUGGAUGUGCACCUGCUUCCUUUGCCCCCCUGAGGCUGUGCUGUCCGCAGGUACUCAGUCUCCCACCUGGCCGUGGACACAGGCCUUGAGCCGGGGAUCCAGGGUGCGCACCUCAACUCAUGGCGCUGGACGCUGAGGUGGCUGGCGCUGGGAUAUGUGUGGCCCUGAGGCCCUGACACGCCUGGGAACAUGCCAGCUGGGGCCUGGGCUGCUCCAGGUCAGCUGGCAGGAGGCAGGGCCCUGCAGCUCAGAAUGGUCCAGCGGCCCAGGCCAGAGGAGGGCCCGGUAUGCGGGCCCCGAGGCCUGCGGGCAGCUCCCAGACUGACGGGCCCCUCUGCAGCUGUGCCCGGCCCCUCCCUGUGGGCCCACCCAUGGACAGCUGUGCGCGGAGCCGUGUGCAGCCGUGAGGGCUUGGCUGUCAGGCUCUGGCUGCCUUGGCCUGAGCCUGUCAAACUCUUGAUGGCCCUGUGGGGGGGACAUCCAGGCUUCAGUGCAUACACAUAGGCGUGGAGCCCGAUGACCUGGCUUGACACCCCAACUUCGACCCUGAGAGAACCGUGUGCCUCGAGACCAAGCAACAGCCCCUCUUUGCCACCCUUGCCCCCACUGGGAAGAGCGACGCCUGCCUAGCAGGAGGUGAGACCUGCAGCCGAGUAGAGCAUCGUUGGUUGGACAUAGAGUGAGACAGUCAGCCAUG